GGCUUUUGUGGAAUGUAAAAAGUUCUACGAAUAAGGACUGGGUAAGACUAGUGCCAGCCGCCGCGGUAAUACUAGCAGUCCAAGUCGCAGCCAUUCUUAUUGGGUCUAAAACAUCCGUAGCUUGCUUGAUAAGUUUUCUGUGAAAUCUCAUAUCUCAAGUAUAAGAAUUGUGGAAAAUACUGUCAAGCUAGAGACCGGGAGACGUAAAGAGUACGUCUAAAGUAGCGGUAAAAUGUGUUGAUCUUAGGCGGACUGACGAUAGCGAAGGCACUUUACGAGAACGGUUCUGACAGUAAGGGAUGAAGGCUAGGGGCGCAAAACGGAUUAGAUACCCGUGUAGUCCUAGCAGUAAACACUGCACACUAAACCUUGUGAUCUCUUCGAGAGAUUGCAGGGCUGCAGGGAAGCCAAAGAGUGUGCUACCUGGGAAGUAUAGUCGCAAGGCUGAAACUUUAAAGGAAUUGGCGGGGAGACACUACAACGGGUGACGCGUGCGGUUCAAUUAGAUUAUACACCGUGAACCUCACCAGGAGCGACAGCAGAAUGAAGGUCAGUCUAAAGGGCUUACCUGACACGCUGAGAGGGGUUGCAUGGCCGACGUCAGCCUGUGCUGUGAGGCGAUCUGUUAAAUCAGAUAACAGGCAAGACCCACAUCUUUAUUUAC
rnacentral:rRNA from 1 species